CCCUCUGGAAUUCCCUGACCUAGCACUAGAUAGGCUUUUUUGCCCAGGGAAGUGAAGUAAUUUGUCAUUAAUACGGCGUGUUCCACCUCCGAGCCGACCAUCAUUUUGAUAAAUUGCUCGCAAGUUGGCCAGAUCGCCUGAAAGAUGGAUCGUAAAUUUGAGCACUUGUACUCUCUUAAUACUAAUGCAAAAUGCCACCUGAAUUCCAGGGAACAGAGCAUUCCUGGGCAAGUAUGGAAUGAGUGCCACAAACCAGGCCACCUUUUCGGGAUUUUGGUCAUUGUUCUCGAGAACGUCGUGAGGAGGUCGGAUGGCGCGAAAAUAUCUCGUUACCAAAACGGAUUUGCCAGUCAGAUCGGCGACCAUGGGGCUGAACUGAAGGCAGUAAUUAACGUCAAUGAGGCGAAGGAUUGGAACUUUUUCAGUUUCGUUCAACAAAAUGAGUCAUACUAAAUCUUAACACUUACAACUCUGUUUGGGAACUUGCUCAUGAGGUCGCGAUGCCAUUUUUCGCAAUGCCUAACCAGAUUAUCGUCUUCCUCGCAUUCAAGCUUCUCUUUGAUUGGUUCUGGAUUGCUGAGCGGAGGAUUGAUGGUCAAAUAGAUGCUCAAAUAUGUGGCUUCUUUUGGAGGUUGGUCCAUAUCGGUAUUCUCCCGCCAAAAGCCAGAGGCCAUUGAUGUCUGACCAGUUCUUUCAUAUCCAAGAAGUACCGGAGGAGAAUGAAGCUUAAAUGUUCCCUCAAUCCUUGUGUUUCUGUACAUGGUAACAAAAGGAAUGGCCAAAGAUCCCAACCAUUUCCGUUCGAAUCUUUGAUGCACUUCACGAGGCCUUUCCUCUUCAUCUUCUAGCAUAUCUACCGCUACCUCAUCAAACAGAUGCAAAUGCAAGUUGUCCUUGAUUCGAUUUAAGGUAUCAGAAGAGAAAUCGUUGUUUGGAGACUUGAAUGUGAAUUCAAUUUCCUCAUUCCAAGCAGGAUUGGGCCCCGGAGCAACUGGAGUUUUCUGACACUGACCUUGAAAACGAACUUCGACAAAGCUUCGUACUAAAUUUUCUUUCAUGCCGUGGAUGCUCUCUUCUCUGUGAUUUUUCCCUUGUAGACUUGGGUUGCUUUGUAAAGGGUCCAUGUCAUUUCUCACCGGAACAUCGAAGGCACGAACCACGGAAAUCAAUAUCUUCAAGUCCUGGCCGUCAAGGAGGAUUAUCUUGGGCCUUGGGAAUCGAUAGGGCUUCAAGGGUCUUUGAGCUGGAACCAUUUCUCCGAAGAGCAUGGCCAUUGUUCCCGAUGUGGGUAGUGGAACCUCGUUGAUGACGUCGCAAUGUCGCUUUUUAUGUCUGGCAAUGGCAAAGUUGUGAUUAACCUCUUCCCGUAGCUGCUCUAAAGGGCCUGUAAAGACUUCAAAAGUUAGACGUCUAGCCAAGCCAAGUCAUCGUUGUCCCCAAAACAAUAUCUACUUUUUUAAGGACUCGAAUAUCCCGCGGGGAAUCUCCUUGUCAUUGAUUGGAAUCAUUCGGUAAUUCUUGAAUUCCGCCACUUGGGAGCUUCUCAAUUUAAGCAUUUGAAAUCGUGGAUUGUUUUCAAUCGCAGAGCUAGUCCCUAAAAGGAAUUGAUCGUGAUAAUCGUCCAAUCGGAAAUGCCCUCCACCUUGCAAUGUCGGAGCAUAGCCUGAGCCAGAAUUUGAGGAUUCAUUUCUGUCAUUCGAGUCCGGCCGAUCUACGUUGGAUUUGCCUGCUUCGAGCACCCUAUCCAUGAGGUCUUGGUUUUUUGGAUCCAUGGGAUCAAUCUCGUUCUUUGUCAUCCAAACAUCCAGUUUGGCCGAUUCGAUCCUGCCAUUGACAUCCGUGAUAUCUUCCAAAGGAUCUUGGCUAAAAUCAAAGAUCAUCUCGUUUCUUAUCACUUCAGUAUGAUAUUAAUAUAUAGGAAUACAGUAGUGUAUUGCUUUCAGGCGUACAUUCGUGAUUUUGGUGGCGACCACUUCUCUGCUGGCGGAGAUAGUAUCGUUCCAUCUGAUGUUCGUCCCCAACCAACUCUGACAAAGACUUUUCCGUGGGUGGGUUGGCUAGUGAUGGAACUUCCAUCUCCAUUGGCUGAGAAGUCUACACAUGAUCCUACACCUAAACAGAUGGAGGUUAUUAAUGCAAUUAUCUAGAUCCCGAGAGAAGUUUCCCCGUCUGUUACCGCUGUUGUCGUGCUUGACUCUGGAUGUGCUUUGAAACGGGAUGAUAUUUACGUCAGCUUUGUCAAGGACGGUAUCUGACUCACAGAUUGGCAAUGAUAUUUCGGAUAAAAACGACGUUUUCAGUUUGGUUCCUUCAAAGAUCUAAGGAUUGCAUUUGCUGAUUUGUGAUGUAUCAAUUACAGACUAAUUAAUCUGCCGCUUGAUAGAUACCUGAACUUUCAGAGUUUCUGGCCAUUGCGUGAUCUGCAGUGGGAAAAUUUGGGCAAUAGGUACGGUAAAAUCCUCGCCAAUAUGUUUGGUUGAUGACUGACACACCUCUUUCCCAUUGAAAAAGAGCUUCACGAAUAUUUUCAUCUUGCUCAAGGAGUGUCUUCGACUCGUUUCUCGAUUGUCUUGAACAUCUUUAUCGAUGUUGGAAGAUUGUGACAGUUCCAAAGUCAAAAUGGUCUCGCCUGGGGGUCGACGUGUUUGGCGGGCUUUUUCUUCAAGCUAAGGGACAAGUCUGAUAUACACACAAUAUAUUGUUCCGGCCUGAGUGUCUCCUUGAGCUUACCAUCUUGCGGACAUGUUCUUCAUCAAAUCGACCUGGUGGUUGAGGUUUUUCAGGCUCGGGAGAGGCCAAAAGCUCUUCAUCUUUUGCAAUUUCAUCCACUUCGGCACUGCCAAUACCUUUUUCGCUAUCCUUUUUCAUCUUUUUAUGCCGUUUAUAUGCUGCCUUUCUCAUAUCUGUGGAAAACACAAAUAUUUUAACAACUGUCUGUCUUUGUAACGCUAGAUGGCGCUAUUGUUUGCGGACAAAGUUUGAUGCUAUUUUUUGAAAUUCCCUUGUAAGGCACUCGCUUAAUCUUCCAUAGCCAUAAAACAUUAAUUGUUGGAUAAACUUUUGCAUUAGUCCAUUUCCUCAUGUGUAGUGGAAGUGUUUUCAAGACUAUUAUUGUAUACAAUGAUCAACAGCUUUUAUCAAGCGUGAAUGUUUUUAUACAUACACGGAGUGAUAAGUGGCACGAUCCUUCUGAACACAGUUCAAACAGGAAUUGAUGAAUUGGGUUGCAUCUUCAUAGAUGAGGCUUGAGCCAAUACUUGUUACGCUCAUCAAGCUAUACCUAUCUGAUCCUGGGGAAUCGUCCCUCUUAAUUAAACUCUCAAAAUCAUAGUGCACUAAUCAUCCCUUGAGGAACUAACCGUGGAUCUGUUUCCAGUGUCUCAAUUCCUCCUCAUACUCCUUGGUCAAGAACUCUAGAUUGUCGUGGUAGUCGUCCCGAGCCUCGUCAACUUCCCGGGUCAGUUCCUGCUCCCAUUGGGUUUGGUCAUCAAUUAGACUUGCAUUUUCCUGCAAUGUCGAUAAGCGUGGUAAAGUUAAUUCGUUGAAACGGUAAAACACCUACAAGUAGGGAAUUUAAAUCAAGUUUCUCUGAGCAUGAAGGCGUUCAGUCUGCAUCCAAUCAUUUCUUCGUUUUACCUUAUGAAUCGUGAGCUUCAAGUUGGUGCUCUGGUAACCCUGUCGACGACGGA